UAAACUUUACAAGAAAUUCUCGUGUUUGUAAAUUUAAUUCAGAAUUUCACCUCGAAUUUAAUGUGAUACUUGAUGUUUGUAUGUAAUUUUCUAUAAUCGUUUAUACAAGUAAUAUUAACUACACUAAUGCAUUGCCUGCCUUAAGUUCUUCAGAGGAAGUAAACUUUACUUGGCUAAUGCGAGCAAAUCUGGCAACCCUCUCCAAACUCGUUGGGUGACGUCACAGGGAGUUUGCGCUCCAAACAAACCAGGACUUUUUGAAUGGCGGCUGAGUUUGAGAGGGACAUAUACAGACGACUGUUUGGAUUUUUUUAAUAGGAAAAUUGUGACUGUGGCUGCGAAGACUAGAAGUGGUCAAGCAUUGCCCUGCUGUCCAAGACUUCACUGAGAGAUGCUCUGUUAAGUGAAGCUCAGAUCAAAGAAGAGUUCAGAAGGAUAACAGCAAUACAUCUGGGGUGGACCUUUUUCU